rnacentral:rRNA from 1 species
UACGUAGGGUGCGAGCGUUGUCCGGAAUUACUGGGCGUAAAGUGCUCGUAGGCGGUUUGUCGCGUCUGCCGUGAAAGUCCGGGGCUCAACUCCGGAUCUGCGGUGGGUACGGGCAGACUAGAGUGAUGUAGGGGAGACUGGAAUUCCUGGUGUAGCGGUGAAAUGCGCAGAUAUCAGGAGGAACACCGAUGGCGAAGGCAGGUCUCUGGGCAUUAACUGACGCUGAGGAGCGAAAGCAUGGGGAGCGAACAGG